AUUGAACGCUGGCGGAAUGCUUUACACAUGCAAGUCGAACGGUAACAGGUCUUCGGAUGCUGACGAGUGGCGAACGGGUGAGUAAUAUAUCGGAACGUGCCCAGUCGUGGGGGAUAACGUAGCGAAAGUUACGCUAAUACCGCAUACGAUCUACGGAUGAAAGCGGGGGAUCGCAAGACCUCGCGCGAUUGGAGCGGCCGAUAUCAGAUUAGGUAGUUGGUGAGGUAAAGGCUCACCAAGCCAACGAUCUGUAGCUGGUCUGAGAGGACGACCAGCCACACUGGAACUGAGACACGGUCCAGACUCCUACGGGAGGCAGCAGUGGGGAAUUUUUGGACAAUGGACGCAAGUCUGAUCCAGCCAUUCCGCGUGCAGGACGAAGGCCUUCGGGUUGUAACUGCUUUGUACGAGCGAAAGGCCCUCGUCUAAUACAGGGGGUUCAGUGACGGUACCGUAAGAAUAAGCACCGGCUAACUACGUGCCAGCAGCCGC
rnacentral:rRNA from 1 species